CUUUGCGUAUAUUUUGUAAGUUCGAAUCCAUGUCGACCCAAACUUCGCUGUUCAAGGCUUGAGUCACCAUGAACAGCGAAACCUCGGUUAAUCGUGACCUAAACUUUAAAAAAACGUAUACCUACAAGGAUAUGACUCGAAGUGAAAUGUAUCAUUUUUAAACGAAAGGGGUUCAUGUAGUGGAAGAAUAAUUUUUAAAGCAACAGUGACCUCAAAUUAAAAUUUUGCUCUCUCUAUGGUUCACCAUCCGAGGAUUACAUUAUAACAUAGGAUGAUUCUGUAGAACCUAGAGAUAAUAAAUGUUUAAAAAGAGACAAAAAAGUAACCAAAAUGUCACCUUCUACCUGACAUGUUUUAUUUAUCCCUGUGUUAUUCAUAAAUAUAAUUUGAAUAAUUAUUGUAUAAUUUUCACUUAAAAUUCUAUGAAUAUCUCAAAAUUUUUCUACAUUAAGGUCGAAAGGUAUACGACUGAUGGAAACUAAACUCUUCCUAUAUAUGAACGCACGUGGAACUGACGUCUAUCUAAAAUAGCGGUUUCAAUAGACAUUCUAUCCCUAACGAAAUUUACCAAGAAGUA